CACGUAGGGCGCGAGCGUUGUCCGGAAUUAUUGGGCGUAAAGAGCUCGUAGGCGGCCUGUUGCGUCCGCGGUGAAAGCCCGGGGCUUAACCCCGGGUCGGCAGUGGAUACGGGCAGGCUAGAGGUAGGUAGGGGAGAAUGGAAUUCCCGGUGUAGCGGUGAAAUGCGCAGAUAUCGGGAGGAACACCGGUGGCGAAGGCGGUUCUCUGGGCCUUACCUGACGCUGAGGAGCGAAAGCGUGGGGAGCGAACAGG
rnacentral:rRNA from 1 species